rnacentral:lncRNA from 1 species
GCUGAAGGACCAGGAGGAUUGCCUGUGUAGGUACUCGAAGAAUCCGGAUUUUGGGAAAUAUGUCUCUUCUCCUAACGCCAAAAAGGUUAUCGACGCCUGUGAUGUUCCUCACCCUUCUUGUACCUCUAAUAAAUUACAUAGUGUAGAGGAGGAGCAACAAUGAUCGUUGUCUCUGUGUAAUUAAUAAAGAGCUGGUCUUCAGUAAUCAGUAACAUAUGUCAUAGGACAGAUUAAAUCAUCUUAUGGAUUAUUGGAAAUUAAAAGAUAAUUAUUCAUCUCGUCUUCUUGCUAAUGUUAAUUUGCAUAUAUAUUAGCUUGCGUUGCUCUGAAAAUUGACGAUUCGAUGAGUUACAGUUCCCGUUCUAUUGUACGACGAUCCAUUCAAACGGACGAAAUUAUGU